AUGCUGGCGGCAGGCCUAACACAUGCAAGUUGAGCGGUAGCACAGGAGAGCUUGCUCUCUGGGUGACGAGCGGCGGACGGGUGAGUAAUGUCUGGGAAACUGCCUGAUGGAGGGGGAUAACUACUGGAAACGGUAGCUAAUACCGCAUGACCUCGCAAGAGCAAAGUGGGGGACCUUCGGGCCUCACGCCAUCGGAUGUGCCCAGAUGGGAUUAGCUAGUAGGUGGGGUAAUGGCUCACCUAGGCGACGAUCCCUAGCUGGUCUGAGAGGAUGACCAGCCACACUGGAACUGAGACACGGUCCAGACUCCUACGGGAGGCAGCAGUGGGGAAUAUUGCACAAUGGGCGCAAGCCUGAUGCAGCCAUGCCGCGUGUGUGAAGAAGGCCUUAGGGUUGUAAAGCACUUUCAGCGAGGAGGAAGGCGUUGUAGUUAAUAGCUGCAACGAUUGACGUUACUCGCAGAAGAAGCACCGGCUAACUCCGUGCCAGCAGCCGCGGUAAUACGGAGGGUGCAAGCGUUAAUCGGAAUUACUGGGCGUAAAGCGCGCGUAGGUGGUUUGUUAAGUUGGAUGUGAAAUCCCCGGGCUCAACCUGGGAACUGCAUUCAAAACUGACUGACUAGAGUAUGGUAGAGGGUGGUGGAAUUUCCUGUGUAGCGGUGAAAUGCGUAGAUAUAGGAAGGAACACCAGUGGCGAAGGCGACCACCUGGACUAAUACUGACACUGAGGUGCGAAAGCGUGGGGAGCAAAC
rnacentral:rRNA from 1 species